rnacentral:lncRNA from 1 species
CAAGCCCGCAGCCAGCACGUGCCUCAGACACAGUGAUAGGGUUUGGUGAGACUAAGAAGGGAAGUCACGUUAUGUCACUCUAUAUGACUCAAAGGGUGGCAGACACCCUGCUGGAGGAUAGGAGCCAAUCAUGAGCUUCCGGUGGUUAAACGGGAGGUUAACAAACGGCCACAUACCCAGGAAGAAGAGAAGCUUGGAAGAUUCCUGAGGCCUCUGGCAACAUAAACGGAAGUGAACAAUUGCUAGGGGUGGAGACUCUGACCAACCAAUCUAUGGAAAGAAUGAUUGUGGAGCUACCUGUGUGCUGUGGAGAGAGCUUCUGGCUGCAUCUUCUUUUGAGUUAUCCCUGCUCCUUGUAAUAACCCUCAGCCAUACACUUGUUAGUAACCACAAUUUUAAAAAUGGUGUGAUCACUGCUUUGGUUUGUCAUGCGUCCCUUUCUGGGGGCUGAAGAAGAGAUCAGAGAGUUCAAAAUCAGCUUAGACUACGUAGAAAAACCCUGCUGAGCAACAGGAGGAAGAAGAGGAAGAAGAGGAGGGAGAGGAGGAAGAGGAGGAGGGAAAAGAAGAGGAGGGGGGAGGACCACAUCCAAGAUGAGUGUCCCACACCCCCCGCAGUCAGUGCUCUGGAAAAAUCCUCACAAACACUGAGAAGUGCACUUCCUUAAUCUCCUACACGCUUCUCAAUCCAAUAAAAUUGAUAAUCAAA